rnacentral:rRNA from 1 species
UACGCUGGCGGCACGCCUAACACAUGCAAGUCGAACGAAGUAGCAAUACUUAGUGGCAGACGGGUGAGUAACAUGUAGGUAUCUUCCCUUUGGCCUGGAAUAACACGAGGAAACUUGUGCUAAUACCGGAUAAGUCUUCACAGAGAAAGCUUUAUGCACCAUUGGAUGAGCCUGCACUUGAUUAGUUUGUUGGAAGGGUAAUGGCCUACCAAGACUAUGAUCAAUAGCUGAUUUGAGAGGAUGAUCAGCCACAUUGGGACUGAGACACGGCCCAAACUCCUACGGGAGGCAGCAGUGGGGAAUCUUGCACAAUGGAGGAAACUCUGAUGCAGCGAUGCCGCGUGAGUGAAGAAGGCCCUUGGGUUGUAAAGCUCUUUCGUCGGGGAAGAAAAUGACUGUACCCGAAUAAGAAGGUCCGGCUAACU